rnacentral:rRNA from 1 species
CAUGCAGUCGACGGUAACGCGGGGCAACCUGGCGACGAGUGGCGAACGGGUGAGUAAUGCAUCGGAACGUGCCCAGAAGUGGGGGAUAGCCCGGCGAAAGCCGGAUUAAUACCGCAUGAGACCUGAGGGUGAAGGCGGGGGAUCGCAAGACCUCGCGCUUUUGGAGCGGCCGAUGUCAGAUUAGGUAGUUGGUGGGGUAAAGGCCUACCAAGCCGACGAUCUGUAGCUGGUCUGAGAGGACGACCAGCCACACUGGGACUGAGACACGGCCCAGACUCCUACGGGAGGCAGCAGUGGGGAAUUUUGGACAAUGGGCGCAAGCCUGAUCCAGCCAUGCCGCGUGCGGGAAGAAGGCCUUCGGGUUGUAAACCGCUUUUGUCGGGGAAGAAAAGCCUUGGGUUAAUACCCUGGGGUGAUGACGGUACCCGAAGAAUAAGCACCGGCUAACUACGUGCCAGCAGCCGCGGUAAUACGUAGGGUGCAAGCGUUAAUCGGAAUUACUGGGCGUAAAGCGUGCGCAGGCGGUUGUGUAAGACAGAUGUGAAAUCCCCGGGCUCAACCUGGGAACUGCAUUUGUGACUGCACAGCUGGAGUGCGGCAGAGGGGGAUGGAAUUCCGCGUGUAGCAGUGAAAUGCGUAGAUAUGCGGAGGAACACCGAUGGCGAAGGCAAUCCCCUGGGCCUGCACUGACGCUCAUGCA